CCUCAGCCCCGAUAGAAGUGAAAUCCUUUUGUGCAGGGGUUCUGCACAAAAGAUUAUAACGUAUAGCGGUAAGAGCU
rnacentral:sRNA from 1 species